AUCACCACCCCAGCAUAUUCCCCAGGGUCAGAGUUUUGGGCUUACUUCUAUCCUUCACUUUCAAAAAAGCCAUCCCUUCCGACUGAAAUGUCCUUCUUUGAAAGCCCCUAGUCAUGUUACAAAAUCCCAGGCAGUUAUCAGAGCUUCAGACCUGUCCUUUUCCUGUGGCCUAUGGAUGGAUUCUUUACAGCUCUGGCUUCUCCUUGGCAGCCACAAUGCCAAGGAGUUGAUCUUGGAGACCCAAGGGUGUGAUCAUGAAGUUGAGGAGACAGACUUUCACGGCAACUUCAGGGAGAUAAUGUGGAUUCCUCAGACGAGUGGUUAUAUAGAACUUAAAUUCCCUUGAGUAUUCAAUAAUAUUUUCACCCAGUCUCAUGUACUCCACCCCCUGCUGUUUGAAUGUUGCCUUCAGCAAGAUGGGUUCAAUAAAGGCAUCCAGCUCUUCUCCAACGUUUUCCAACAAGACAGGGGUGCCAAACUGCAGGGCAUUUUCCAGAGUCCUCACGUAAUUGGUAUCAGAGAACUUGAUGACAGAUAGCUUGUUUGUUUUUUCCAUAUUCUUCACCCACUUAUUGGCCUGUCCCUGAGGGUCAAUCAUCAAAGGCCAGCGCCUGGAAUUGGACACAAUGAUGCCAUUGUCAACAGAGAAGGAGUCAACAGGAAGCCCUGCUAUCUGCCAGGCACGGAUUUUUAUGGGGUCCCCUAAGGUGUUGCUGAGGCUAAAAUCAACGGAGCCUGGGAUGACCUUGUCCUUACAGGAAACCAACCAUUCAUUUUGGCAUUGGGCCCGAUAAUCCACCGUGAAGGCACCCAGAUGCCAGGAUGACAGACACUUGCCAGGAGUGCCAAGAA
rnacentral:lncRNA from 1 species